rnacentral:rRNA from 1 species
UUUGACCUCAGAUCAGGCAGGACUACCCGCUGAACUUAAGCAUAUCAAUAAGCGGAGGAAAAGAAACUAACAAGGAUUCCCYUAGUAACGGCGAGUGAAGAGGGAAGAGCUCAAAUUUGAAAUCUGGCGGCCUACGGUCGUCCGAGUUGUAAUCUAGAGAAGUGUUUUCCGCGCUGGACCGUGUACAAGUCCUUUGGAACAAGGCGUCAUAGAGGGUGAGAAUCCCGUCUACGACACGGACUACCAGUGCUCUGUGAUACACUCUCAACGAGUCGAGUUGUUUGGGAAUGCAGCUCAAAAUGGGUGGUAAAUUCCAUCUAAAGCUAAAUACGGGCGAAAGACCGAUAGCGAACAAGUACCGUGAGGGAAAGAUGAAAAGCACUUUGGAAAGAGAGUUAAAAAGUACGUGAAAUUGUUGAAAGGGAAACGCUUGAAGUCAGUCGCGUCUUCAGAAAUUCAGCCUGGCUUCUGCCUGGUGUACUUUUCUGUUGGACGGGCCAGCAUCGGUUUCGGCCGCCAGAAAAAGGUGGGAGGAAGGUGGCACCUCCGGGUGUGUUAUAGCCUCUCAUCGUAUGUGGCGGCUGGGACCGAGGACCGCAGCACGCCUUUAUGGCCGGGGUUCGCCCACGUAACGUGCUUAGGAUGCUGGCGUAAUGGCUUUAAGCGACCCGUCUUGAAACACGGACCAAGGAGUCUAACAUGCCUGCGAGUAUUUGGGUGGAAAACCCACAUGCGGAAUGAAAGUGAACAGUUGGGACUUCUGUCAUGGAAGGCACCGACGCCCGGACCAGACCUACUGUGACGGAUCCGAGGUAGAGCAUGUAUGUUGGGACCCGAAAGAUGGUGAACUAUGCCUGAGUAGGGUGAAGCCAGAGGAAACUCUGGUGGAGGCUCGUAGCGAUUCUGACGUGCAAAUCGAUCGUCGAACUUGGGUAUAGUGGCGAAAGUCUAAUCGAAC